rnacentral:rRNA from 1 species
ACUCAAAUGAAUUGACGGGGGCCCGCACAAGCGGUGGAGUAUGUGGUUUAAUUCGAAGCAACGCGCAGAACCUUACCUACCCUUAACAUCCCGUGCUACUGGCAGAGAUGUCAGGUUCUCUUCGGAGACGCGGAGAUAGGUGCUGCAUGGCUGUCGUCAGCUCGUGUUGUAAGAUGUCUGGUUAAGUCCAAUAACGAGCGCAACCCCUGUCCUUAGUUGCCAGCAUUAAGUUGGGAACUCUAAGGAGACUGCCGGUGUUAAACCGGAGGAAGGCGGGGAUGACGUCAAGUCCUCAUGGCCCUUACGGGUAGGGCUACACACGUACUACAAUGGCAGAGACAGACCGUUGCGAAACCGCGAGGUGGAGCUAAUCGGUAAAACACUGCCUCAGUUCAGAUUGCAGUCUGCAAUUCGACUGCAUGAAGUUGGAAUCGCUAGUAAUCGCUGAUCAGCAAGCAGCGGUGAAUACGUUCCCGGGCCUUGUACACACCGCCCGU